rnacentral:rRNA from 1 species
AACGAACGCUGGCGGCAUGCCUAACACAUGCAAGUCGAACGAGACCUUCGGGUCUAGUGGCGCACGGGUGCGUAACGCGUGGGAACCUGCCCUUAGGUUCGGAAUAACUCCCCGAAAGGGGUGCUAAUACCGGAUAAUGUCUUCGGACCAAAGAUUUAUCGCCUUUGGAUGGGCCCGCGUUGGUUUAGCUAGUUGGUAGGGUAAAAGCCUACCAAGGCGACGAUCCAUAGCUGGUCUGAGAGGAUGAUCAGCCACACUGGGACUGAGACACGGCCCAGACUCCUACGGGAGGCAGCAGUAGGGAAUAUUGGACAAUGGGCGAAAGCCUGAUACAGCAAUGCCGCGUGAGUGAUGAAGGCCUUAGGGUUGUAAAGCUCUUUUACCCGGGGUGAUAAUGACGGUACCGGGAGAAUAAGCUCCGGCUAACUCCGUG